rnacentral:rRNA from 1 species
GAUGAACGCUGGCGGCGUGCCUAAUACAUGCAAGUCGAGCGAACAGACGAGGAGCUUGCUCCUCUGACGUUAGCGGCGGACGGGUGAGUAACACGUGGAUAACCUACCUAUAAGACUGGGAUAACUUCGGGAAACCGGAGCUAAUACCGGAUAAUAUAUUGAACCGCAUGGUUCAAUAGAGAAAGACGGUUUUGCUGUCACUUAUAGAUGGAUCCGCGCCGCAUUAGCUAGUUGGUAAGGUAACGGCUUACCAAGGCGACGAUGCGUAGCCGACCUGAGAGGGUGAUCGGCCACACUGGAACUGAGACACGGUCCAGACUCCUACGGGAGGCAGCAGUAGGGAAUCUUCCGCAAUGGGCGAAAGCCUGACGGAGCAACGCCACGUGAGUGAUGAAGGUCUUCGGAUCGUAAAACUCUGUUAUUAGGGAAGAACAAAUGUGUAAGUAACUAUGCACGUCUUGACGGUACCUAAUCAGAAAGCCACGGCUAACUACGUG